AGUGAACGCUGGCGGUAGGCCUAACACAUGCAAGUCGAACGGCAGCACAGUAAGAGCUUGCUCUUACGGGUGGCGAGUGGCGGACGGGUGAGGAAUACAUCGGAAUCUACUUUUUCGUGGGGGAUAACGUAGGGAAACUUACGCUAAUACCGCAUACGACCUACGGGUGAAAGCAGGGGAUCUUCGGACCUUGCGCGAUUGAAUGAGCCGAUGUCGGAUUAGCUAGUUGGCGGGGUAAAGGCCCACCAAGGCGACGAUCCGUAGCUGGUCUGAGAGGAUGUUCAGCCACACUGGAACUGAGACACGGUCCAGACUCCUACGGGAGGCAGCAGUGGGGAAUAUUGGACAAUGGGUGCAAGCCUGAUCCAGCCAUACCGCGUGGGUGAAGAAGGCCUUCGGGUUGUAAAGCCCUUUUGUUGGGAAAGAAAAGCAGCAGGUUAAUACCCCGCUGUUCUGACGGUACCCAAAGAAUAAGCACCGGCUAACUUCGUG
rnacentral:rRNA from 1 species